AUCGCUUCUCGGCCUUUUGGCUAAGAUCAAAGUGUAGUAUCUGUUCUUUUCAGCUUAAUAUCUGAUACGUACCCCACUGGGGUACUUCGAUAUAUCAUCAGAUUAUUUUUGGAAAUACUCGGUCAAUAAGCUUUUUUGAUUAAUUUUUUGCCACAGGAUAUAAAGAGGCAGAAUGUUUACUUUAU